rnacentral:rRNA from 1 species
UAGUUGGUGGUGUGAAUUGUCUGGUUGAUUCCGUUAACGAACGAGACCUUGACUUACUAAAUAGCAGCUGGAAGAUAUUGCAUUAAGGCCGUGGAUCGGUAUUUUCGGAAGGAUCCGUUCCCCGUGAAUAGUUGUUUCCAAGGUUGCUUUUUUUCCAGAAAGCUUCUUAGAGGGACUAUUAGUGACAAGCUAAUGGAAGUUCGAGGCAAAAACAGGUCU